AAUGACAAAUAUAAAUUUUCCUAAUUAUGAACCAAAACAGGAUAGUCGACCGGAAUCCGGUUUCCGAAACAAAAUGGAAAACUGGUUCAAUAACACCUAAACACUUGAGACUAGUAAA